rnacentral:rRNA from 1 species
GACGAACGCUGGCGGCGUGCUUAACACAUGCAAGUCGAACGGAAAGGCCCUGCUUUGGGGGGGUGCUCGAGUGGCGAACGUGUGAGUAACACGUGAGUAACCUGCCCUUGACUUUGGUAUAACUUCAUGAAACUGGGGCUGAUACCGGAUAGGAGCUCCUGCUGCAGGGUGUGGGUUGGAAAGUUUCGGCGGGUGGGGAUGGACUCGCGGCUUAUCAGCUUGUUGGUGGGGUAGUGGCUUACCAAGGCUUGGACGGGUAGCCGGCCUGAGAGGGUGACCGGCCACAUUGGGACUGAGACACGGCCCAGACUCCUACGGGAGGCAGCAGUGGGGAAUAUUGCACAAUGGGCGGAAGCCUGAUGCAGCAACGCCGCGUGCGGGAUGACGGCCUUCGGGUUGUAAACCGCUUUCGCCUGUGACGAAGCGUGAGUGACGGUACUGGGUAAAGAAGCACCGGCCAACUACGUG